AGAACGUUGGGCCAGAAAAAAAAGCAUUGAGCUUGAGGGACUAGACUAAUCAAAAAAUGGAAUAACAUGGCAACAAUUACACUGAUGAGUGAGAGAGGAGCCGCAGAUGCAUUCAGACACCUAUGGCACCGCGGGCUCCAUGCAUUCAGCAUUUCGUGUUUAGUGUCUUGUGUUUUUGAGAGCAGGAACUGUUUGACCAGUGCCUACUCUGCAUGCUGAGCACCAAGUUGUGUGAGUUAAGUAUGAGGAGAGAGUUCAGCUGCCUCCAGCCAAGCAAACAGGCUAAAUCCCAAGUGAGGUCCCAAGCUAUGAGGCUCCUGGAUCCAGAGACCACUGUGCACACUGCUGGUUGCUAUCAUAAACCAUCCUUCCUGGAAAACAAACUUGAAGAUGACGGCAUGAAGAACUUGGGAUCUGGCAUUUUGGGAUCCAUGCUGCUUUUGACUGGGGCUUUGGUUUAAGACAUCCUGGUGUCUUUACCAUUCACAAAGGGGCUCGACACAAUUUCGUACAAGAUUCCUUUAUGAGGAGGGGUGACUGAGCGGAACACUAAGCAUCUCUCUGGGAAAGCAGUAAGGAAGAGAAAAGAUUCCCGAAGUGGGAGCUCGACACGUGGACACCUUUGGAACCCAGCAUUCUCUCCGGUCAGCCUAGAUCUUAAGCACUAAAAUGCUCUCCAUACCUAUCAUGAAAUCUUACCCACUUAGCUGAUAAACGUCGCUGAUCAAAAGCUACA